CAGGUCCGUCCGUCCAUCCCCUUCCUUCCCCCUUGUCCCGUCUCGCUCCUCUCGUCAGUGGAGAGUGGGGAGUGGUGGAUUGACAUGACACGUGGGCCCCGCACAUAGGCAGGCAGUGGCGUCGUGUCGGGGGCACACAUGGGUGGCUCCUUUUGCCUGCCCACAUGCCAUUGGUACGAACGGGUCAACGAGCGUCAGGAAAUUAGCAUUAGCAUCUAUGAAGAGCGAUCGAGGAAUAUUUGUUCUGAAUUUGUCACUCCUUUGGUUUUGCUUAGAUUAUUAACAUAAUAAUUGGCAUGGCAUGAAAUUGACUGCGUGGUUGCUGAAAUUGCAGGCGUACAUGGUCGGCGAGCACGGCGACAGCUCGGUGGCGGUGUGGUCGAGCGUCAGCGUGGCGGGGAUGCCGGUGCUCAAGUCGCUGCAGGCGAGCCACCGCUGCUUCGACGAGGAGGCGCUCGAGGGCAUCCGCCGCUCCGUCGUCGACAGCGCCUACGAGGUGAUCAGCCUCAAGGGCUACACCUCCUGGGCCAUCGGCUACUCCGUCGCCAGCCUCGCCGCCUCGCUCCUCCGGGACCAGCGCCGCAUCCACCCCGUCUCCGUCCUCGCCAGGGGGUUCCACGGCAUCGCGCCCGAGAACGACGUCUUCCUCAGCCUGCCCGCAAGGCUCGGACGCGGCGGCGUGCUCGGCGUCGCGGAGAUGGAGCUCACCGAGGAGGAGGCCAAGAAGCUCCGCCGCUCCGCCAAGACGCUCUGGGAGAACUGCCAGCAGCUCGGCCUCUGAUCUUUAAUUCAUUGGGAUCCAUCUCACUGUGUUUUGGAUCGGGUUCCUUGCUAUUGCUACCCCACGCUGCCGCGUCGCCUUUUUCAAUGUUAGACUUCAUUCAUGUGCUUUCUCGUUAAGGGCUCGUUUGGUGCCAUCCGGCUCCGGCUCGCCGGUCCGUGAGGGCGAGGAGGAGGGAGAAACAAAACCGACUUCCGUGAACAGUGUAGCUACACUAUAUGAAUAGUGGUGUAUGUCAGGUGAAGUUGGAGUUGGUGGGAGCUUCACCAAACUAGACCUAAUUGUUCCUGCGGUUUAUUUUUACUGAAAAGUUUAGUGCUCAAGCACCAUAUAUUCAGCUUACCUGAACAAUUUGCACAUGUAGAUAGUCUUCAAAAGGGUGGAUCAAAAUAUUAAUUUGUCGUUGAAUGAAAUAGUAACUCACAGCAAAAAAAACAUGUUCAGUAUGUGCUCUGUAUCUCUGAGAAUUCAGCACGCCAACAUGAAGAGAAUAGGAGAUUGUCCCUUGGAUGGAUUACUGUCUUGCGGUGGUAGUGACCACUGCACCCGAUCUGUCUUCCAAAAGGAACUAGCCUUUCUUCUUUUCUUUUAAAAACUGAGCUAUGAAAUUUUUCCUGUAAAUUUGCCUCCAUCGGAGUUCGGAUGAGGAAGAUAUAGCCUAUGCAAGUUUUAGUUCCUCCCGCGGGCUUAUAGUUCAAUGUUUGUAUUUGGGCCUUCGAAUGUCCAAAGUCCGGGUCCAAUUCCAACUUGUAGAAAAAUCCUUCAAUUAUAUCAUAUUUCUUGUGAUUUUGCAAUAUGCUCCAAAAUACAACACAUAUGCGAUAAUGGGGUUAUUUCAAGUGCCAAGUGACGGGUUAGUAUAAGAAUAUGUAUGAAAAUACCACUUAAAUAGCACUAAAAGUAUGUAAAUAACGAGCAUUAACAAGCAACAUCUAACUCGAUCUCGCAUGAGAAUGAAACGUCAAGAAGAUAAGAAUAGAUCAGAACGCAAGUUCGAGGUCGGUGAUCUGGUCUUCUUGAAACUCUAGCCGUAUGUGCAAUCUUCAUUGGCUUCGUGAGGAAGAUGGCUUUCAAAUACUUCGGUCCAUUCAAGAUUGUGGCCAAUGUGGGAAAGAUGACUUACAAACUGCUGUUACCUGCUUCGUCGUCUAUUCACCCUAUGUUUCGCAUCAGUCAAUUGAAGGCUGCAGUCACUGAAGACGUCGAGGUAUUGCCUUCCUUUCCUUUUGACUUGGACAUUCAAAUUGAUUCCGCAGCAUCGCCUGACUACUCAGGGUAUUCAACCGGUGCAACAAAUUUUGGUGAAAUGGUCAAAUUGGCCGGUAGAAAUGGCAGCUUGGGAGGAUAUUAUUGCCUUGCAACAGCUUUUUUCAUUUGCGCCUGCUUGGGUCAAGUAGCGUCUCAAGGGAGGGGGAAUGUCAGCACUACGUCAUCAAGCCAAUAUCAUGAGCAGGUGCCGACAACAGCAAAUGGGCCAACCAGUUCCAGACCUAGGAAGCCCAAUUCACUUUGGACCGGAGAAGACUGGACUGUCUGAUGGGUGCUUGCAUGCACGAAAUAGGACCUAGCCCAUGUAAUAGCUGCGUUUACUUAUAGAGGUGAGGUAGAGGAGGAGAGCAUCUUUAACAUGUAUGAACAAUCAACUCCUUCAGCAAGCUAACGGACCUCGUGGUGCCGUCUCUAUUCUUCUUCCUGUCCCUUGCUUGCUCGUGCUCCAAAUUCCUUCCUCUCUUCUAUCCCAACUACCCUUCAGUUAACACAUUUCCCUGUUGUACGCCGCCUGGAACGCGGCUACGCUGCUGGCCAAGAGGGCUCGGGUAUCCUCCGCUUCCUCAAGAUCCUCAAUCCCAUCCACCAUGCGCUACAAGAUGCCCUCGGUGAAGUUAGGGUAGACUUGGUGCUCUAGUUCCUCGACCAUCAGCGUGUUGAUGAGCUCUUGAUCCACCCGCAUGAGCUCCGUCCUCCUCUUCCUCGUUGUCUCUGUGGCUGGCGGCAGUUUGGUGGACUUAAGAUGCCCUCGUCCGCCACCGCUGUCUCCAUGCCGCCGCUCGCCGCCUUGCUCACCUCCAUCACAAUUGUCGACUAUCUCUUGAUCUGAUCCUAGCCGUUUCUCUGUAACGCCAUUUAUGUAUUUAUGUGGAGGAUUCCCUUUCCUUAGCAGGAUCGGACUAGGUUGGAAAAGCGGAGGCCUAUCUAGUUGGGCCAAAUGGGCUGGACUAGCCUAGCCCCCAACUCGUGUGGACCAAAGAGGUGGGCUAAUUGGGCCAAUUUUUUUUAAAAAAAAAUAGAGACCUCAGUCAAAUAAUGUUUUGGGUCUUAAAAAAAACUAUUUUGGGUGUUGCAGGCCGACCGUCUCCUGCUGCAGGCAAAACAUUCGCAGGUGUCUUUAACGGGGUGUUUGGAUCCUGGAGCUAAAGUUUAGUCCGUGUCACAUUGAAUAUUCGGAGGCUAAUUAGGAGGACUAAAUAUUAGUUAAUUAUAAAACUAAUUACAUAGAUGGAGGCUAAACGACGAGACGAAUCUAUUAAGCCUAAUUAAUCCAUCAUUAGCAAAUGGUUAAUAUAACAGCACAUUGUCAAAUCAUAGACUAAUUAGGCUUAAUAGGUUCGCCUCCAUCCGUACAAUGGGUUUUGUAAAUAGUCUAUAUUUAAUACUCCUAAUAAGCACGGUGAUGGUGAUUGGUGCAGGGCACCCCACCGACCGGCACAGUGACUAGGAUUUGGGCCGUCAUGACCAUUCACCGAAGCUUCCUCUUGGGAAGAAAGAAAGCUUCAGCAGCUAGCCAAGGUCAUGGUGGAAUAAUGGACCGCAGAACGGAAUCUAUGGAGAAAAUCGAUCUAAGGUGUGGACGUUAGUUAGGUGAAAACCGGCUGGCGUGCGUACGUCUAAUAAGACGGAGGAGGACUAGCAAAUUCAGGUGGGCCGUUUGACGGUGCCAUCAUACUAGUAAGUACGUACGGAGAUUAGGAAACAAGGAAGAAGGGAGAAAGGAAAACCAGCAGCAGCCGCCUCCCAAUCCGGCGGCUUCGCCUCCAGGAUUACCACCUUUCAACGCCUUCCUUUCCAAGCAAAUUCCUUCCAAAAUGGCCUGCUGAUCUGACCAUCCAUGUCGUUGCUGGAACUACAAAGGACCAGCUAUCUUAAUUAUGUUAUAUCAUAUAUUUAUAUUAUAUUAUCUGAAAAGUGGUCGCGCAUUUUAUCAUUCCUUUUUUCAUAUAGCAGUGGAGGAUCCAACGCAAACUACUGCUGCCUUGCCCCCUGUUUUUGCAUGUCGAUCGUAUACAUAUAGUUCCACGAUGCAAAUUUUUUCAUUACAUCGAAAUCAACGCAUAAUAUAGCCAUAGAGUGGUCAAUGCAAGCAUGCAUUUUGUUUUGAACUGAUGGCUCUUGUUUCGUUUGCAAAAACAGCAAGCAGCAAUGAUAUAAGGGCCCCUUAUUAUAUAUAGUACGUAUAAGGAAUAUCCAUGAUAAGCUAGCGUCGUCGGAUACUACAUGCAUGGAUAGUAGUGAGGAGCUGAUAUGGAUGGAUGAAAAUGAAACCGGCGGCUACAUGCCAUCCAGGGGGCUGCCAACCCUCCAGGAUUUUACUCCGUUCCUCGCCCCUGCGUGCUGCCGCGCCUACUUUACUAAUUUCAACGCCGAAUAUAAUCCUGCCCUGCAAGAAAGUUGAAGUUUUCAAUAUGGAAAAGUGCACCCAUCGAUCGAUCCGCAUUUUACUUAAAAAAAAGAGCAUUUCAGGGGGCUUCGCUAGCUUAUAAAUAGCAACAGCCCUUAUCACCUCACCAUCCAUCACCUAUCUCUCUCUCGAUCUCUCUCAACGUCACUUGCAUCAUCAACAAACAAAUUAAGAUCGAUGAAGAAGGCUUCGUCCCUCUCCGAGCUGGGCUUCGACGCCAACGGCGCGGCAUCGGGCUUCUUCCGCCCCGUCGCCGACGACACCACGCCGACGUCGCACCGCCGGAGGCUCACCAAGGUCUCCGUCAUCGGCGCCGGCAACGUGGGCAUGGCCAUCGCGCAGACCAUCCUGACGCGGGACCUCGCCGACGAGAUCGCGCUGGUGGACGCGGUCCCGGACAAGCUCCGCGGGGAGAUGCUGGACCUGCAGCACGCGGCGGCGUUCCUGCCGCGCACGCGCCUCGUCUCCGACACGGACAUCGCCGUCACCAGGGGCUCCGACCUCGCCAUCGUCACCGCGGGGGCGCGCCAGAUCCCCGGCGAGACGAGGCUCAACCUGCUGCAGAGGAACGUGGCGCUGUUCAGGAAGAUCGUGCCGGCGCUGGCGGAGCACUCGCCGGACGCCAUCCUGCUCAUCGUCUCCAACCCCGUCGACAUCCUCACCUACGUGGCGUGGAAGCUGUCGGGGUUCCCGGUCAACCGCGUCAUCGGCUCCGGCACCAACCUCGACUCCUCCAGGUUCAGGUUCCUCCUCGCCGAGCACCUCGACGUCAACGCGCAGGACGUGCAGGCUUACAUGGUGGGCGAGCACGGCGACAGCUCGGUGGCGAUAUGGUCGACGGUGAGCGUGGCGGGGAUGCCGGUGCUCAAGUCGCUGCAGGAGAGCCACAGCAGCUUCGACGAGGAAGCCCUGGAGAGCAUCCGGCGUGCCGUCGUCAACAGCGCCUACGAGGUGAUCAGCCUCAAGGGAUACACCUCCUGGGCCAUCGGCUACUCCGUCGCCAACCUCGUGGCCUCCAUACUCCGCGACCAGCGCCGCAUCCACCCGGUGUCCGUGCUCGCCACCGGCUUCCACGGCAUAGCCGACGACCACGAGGUGUUCCUCAGCCUGCCCGCUAGGCUUGGCCGUGGCGGCGUCCUGGGCGUCGCGGACAUG
rnacentral:lncRNA from 1 species